UAAACAGCUAGCUCAACCAUGAAAAUUGAAUUAACAACAUUAACCAACCUAACACAAAAUAACUACAUCAACCAAACCAUUCUACCACCCCAGUAUGGGCGACAGAAAAGGACUAACGAAGCCAUAGAUGAAGUACCGCAAGGGAAAACUGAAAGAGAGAUGAAAUAGCGCACUAAAGUAAAUAAAAGCAGAGACCCACCCUCGU
rnacentral:rRNA from 1 species